GGACGGGUGAUUAAUGCCUAGGAAUCUGCCUGGUAGUGGGGGAUAACGUUCGGAAACGGACGCUAAUACCGCAUACGUCCUACGGGAGAAAGCAGGGGACCUUCGGGCCUUGCGCUAUCAGAUGAGCCUAGGUCGGAUUAGCUAGUUGGUGAGGUAAUGGCUCACCAAGGGGACGAUCCGUAACUGGUCUGAGAGGAUGAUCAGUCACACUGGAACUGAGACACGGUCCAGACUCCUACGGGAGGCAGCAGUGGGGAAUUGGACAAUGGGCGAAAGCCUGAUCCAGCCAUGCCGCGUGUGUGAAGAGGUCUUCGGAUUGUAAAGCACUUUAAGUUGGGAGGAAGGGUUUAGAUUAAUACUCUGCAAUUUUGACGUUACCGACAGAAUAAGCACCGGCUAACUCUGUGCCAGCAGCCGCGGUAAUACAGAGGGUGCAAGCGUUAAUCGGAAUUACUGGGCGUAAGCGCGCGUAGGUGGUUUGUUAAGUUGGAUGUGAAAUCCCCGGGCUCAACCUGGGAACUGCAUUCAAAACUGACUGACUAGAGUAUGGUAGAGGGUGGUGGAAUUUCCUGUGUAGCGGUGAAAUGCGUAGAUAUAGGAAGGAACACCAGUGGCGAAGGCGACCACCUGGCUAAUACUGACACUGAGGUGCGAAAGCGUGGGGAGCACACAGGAUUAGAUACCCUGGUAGUCCACGCCGUAAACGAUGUCAACAGCCGUUGGAAGCCUUGAGCUUUUAGUGGCGCAGCUAACGCAUUAAGUUGACCGCCUGGGGAGUACGGCCGCAAGGUAAAACUCAAAUGAAUUGACGGGGCCCGCACAGCGGUGAGCAUGUGGUUUAUUCGAGCACGCGAGACC
rnacentral:rRNA from 1 species